rnacentral:rRNA from 1 species
AUUGAACGCUGGCGGCAGGCCUAACACAUGCAAGUCGAGCGGAUGAAGGGAGCUUGCUCCUGGAUUCAGCGGCGGACGGGUGAGUAAUUCCUAGGAAUCUGCCUGGUAGUGUUGGAUAACGUCCUGAAACGGGCGCUAAUACCGCAUACGUCCUGAGGGAGAAAGUGGGGGAUCUUCGGACCUCACGCUAUCAGAUGAUCCUAGGUCGGAUUAGCUAGUUGGUGGGGUAAAGGCCUACCAAGGCGACGAUCCGUAACUGGUCUGAGAGGAUGAUCAGUCACACUGGAACUGAGACACGGUCCAGACUCCUACGGGAGGCAGCAGUGGGGAAUAUUGGACAAUGGGCGCAAGCCUGAUCCAGCCAUGCCGCGUGUGUGAAGAAGGUCUUCGGAUUGUAAAGCACUUUAAGUUGGGAGGAAGGGCAGUAAGUUAAUACCUUGCUGUUUUGACGGUACCAACAGAAUAAGCACCGGCUAACUUCGUG